rnacentral:rRNA from 1 species
CUACGGGGUGCACCAGUGAGGAAUAUUGCACAAUGGGGGGAACCCUGAUGCAGCAACGCCGCGUGGAGGAUGACGCAUUUCGGUGUGUAAACUCCUUUUAUAUGUCAAGAAAAUGACGGUAGCAUAUGAAUAAGCGCCGGCUAACUCCGUGCCAGCAGCCGCGGUAAUACGGAGGGUGCAAGCGUUACUCGGAAUCACUGGGCGUAAAGGACGCGUAGGUGGGUUGGAAAGUCAGGUGUGAAAUCCUACAGCUUAACUGUAGAACUGCACUUGAAACUUCUAAUCUAGAGUAUGGGAGGGGGAGAUGGAAUUAGUGGUGUAGGGGUAAAAUCCGUAGAUAUCACUAGGAAUACCUAAAGCGAAGGCGAUCUCCUGGAACAUUACUGACGCUAAGGCGUGAAAGCGUGGGGAGCAAACAGGAUUAGAUACCCCCGUAGUC